rnacentral:rRNA from 1 species
UACGGGGGGGGCAAGCGUUGUCCGGAAUCAUUGGGCGUAAAGAGCGUGUAGGCGGCUCGAUAAGUCUGCUGUGAAAGUCCAGGGCUCAACCCUGGAAGGCCGGUGGAAACUGUCGGGCUAGAGUCCGGAAGAGGCGAGUGGAAUUCCCGGUGUAGCGGUGAAAUGCGCAGAUAUCGGGAGGAACACCAAUGGCGAAGGCAGCUCGCUGGGACGGUACUGACGCUGAGACGCGAAAGCGUGGGGAGCAAACAGG